UACGAAGGGUGCAAGCGUUAAUCGGAAUUACUGGGCGUAAAGGGUGCGUAGGCGGUUCGUUAAGUCUGUCGUGAAGUCCCCGGGCUCAACCUGGGAAUGGCGAUGGAUACUGGCGAGCUAGAGUGUGUCAGAGGAUGGUGGAAUUCCCGGUGUAGCAGUGAAAUGCGUAGAGAUCGGGAGGAACACCAGUGGCGAAGGCGGCCUUCUGGACCAGUACUGACGCUCAUGCACGAAAGCGUGGGGAGCAAACAGG
rnacentral:rRNA from 1 species